AUGGCUCCAGCAAAACUGACCUGGGAUCUCCUCAGUAGGGCCAGGCAGAGAUCUUACAGGCUACAAGCACAGGCAGUAGGCCGAAUAUCCUACACACACAAUUUCAAUUCAUCGGGGUUUCUGUGCAGGACGAUGGGCACGAAGAGUUGGUUGCAGAUGACUACACCAGGGGUGAUUGUACACAGAAACUAUAUAUGCAAUUUUACCAACAGAUGCAGAAAGAAUGAGACACCUUCUGACUGUCAUUGCUGCCACCAGCAAGGAGGAAAACACCUGAUAAAAGGUUGGGACUUCUGGGAUGUUCUUGACAUCAACCUGCAAAAUGGCCACAGCUUGGAGGGACACCUGACCUUUUGCCACCAGCUGGGGAACUUCUUAUCAUUUAAAUAAUGAAAACAGCAGCUAUUCUUCUUCAACUCCUGUCAGCCUGAAAGCUAUUCGUGUUAAACCAGUGCAGCACCAACGGGGAGCUUUAGCUAAGAUGCUGCUGACAGCACUGAAAAUAGUGGAAGUCCUGUGACCACCAUCACACCCUCUGUCACCUGCAAGAAAUGAAAAAUUUAAGAAGGCAAACAGAUGCUCAUGAAUGUCACUGCUGCACCUUUGUGAUUUUAAAUUAGAGGUUGUAAACAGUCACAGAAUAAAGUUGCAUGUUUUACACA
rnacentral:lncRNA from 1 species